rnacentral:rRNA from 1 species
CCUACGGGCGACAGCAGUGAGGAAUAUUGGUCAAUGGCCGGAAGGCUGAACCAGCCAUGCCGCGUGAAGGGCAGGGACCUAGGGGCGUUAAACUUCUUUUGUGCGGGAGCAAGAAUGGUCACGUGUGGCCAGACGAGAGUACCGUACGAAUAAGCAGCGGCUAACUCCGGGCCAGCAGCCGCGGUAAUACGGGGGAUGCAAGCGGUAUCCGGAUUUAGUGGGUUUAAAGGGGGCGUAGGCUGUGAGGUAAGUCAGCGGUGAAAUGCCCCCGCUCAACGGGGUGAAGUGCCAUUGAUACUGCCUUGCUGGAUUGCGGAUGCCGUGGGUGGAAUGUGUGGUGUAGCGG